UGUAUAUCAGACUUCCAAGAAAAGCUUGCACUGUCAUAGAUAAAAAACGCCUGUACCAUAACCGACACAGGUGGGUAGGUAGAGUAUACUAAGGGGCGCGAGAUAACUCUCUCUAAGGAACUCGGCAAAAUAACUCCGUAACUUCGGGAGAAGGAGUGCCUUAUUUAUAAGGUUGCAAUAACAAGAUCCAAGCAACUGUUUAUCAAAAACACAGGUCUCCGCUAAGUCGUAAGACGAUGUAUGGGGGCUGACGCCUGCCCAGUGCCAGAAGGUUAAAGAAGUUGGUUAGCAAUUGCGAAGCUGAUAACUGAAGCCCUGGUGAACGGCGGCCGUAACUAUAACGGUCCUAAGGUAGCGAAAUUCCUUGUCGGGUAAGUUCCGACCCGCACGAAAGGCGUAAUGAUUUGGAUACUGUCUCGGAGAGGGGCUCGGUGAAAUAGACUUGUCUGUGAAGAUGCGGACUACCUGCACCAGGACAGAAAGACCCUAUGAAGCUUUACUGUAACUUGAAAUUGAAAUUGGACUUUAUUCGCGCAGCAUAGGUGGGAGGCGUUGAUUAUAAUCUUGCGGGAUUAUUGGAGCCAUCAGUGAGAUACCACUCUUGUAAUGUUAGAUUUCUAACUUUGAAUCAUUAUCUGGUCAAAGAACAGUUUCAGGCGGGCAGUUUGACUGGGGCGGUCGCCUCCUAAAUGGUAACGGAGGCGUACAAAGGUUUCCUCUGAACGGUUAGAAAUCGUAUCUAGAGUGUAAAGGCAUAAGGAAGCUUGACUGUGAGACCUACAAGUCGAGCAGGGACGAAAGUCGGUCUUAGUGAUCUGACGGUACUGAGUAGAAAGGCCGUCACUCAACGGAUAAAAGUUACUCUAGGAUAACAGGCUGAUCUCCCCCAAGAGUCCACAUCGACGGGGAGGUUUGGCACCUUGAUGUCGGCUCAUCGCAUCCUGGGGCGGUAGUACGUCCCAAGGGUUGGGCUGUUCGCCCAUGAAAGCGGUACGCGAGCUGGGUUCAGAACGUCGUGAGACAGUUCGGUCCAUAUCCGGUGUAGGCGUUAGAAUAUUGAGAGGAGCCUUCUUUAGUACGGGAGGACCGAGAAGGACAUACCUCUGGUGUACCAGUUAUCGUGCCAACGGUAAACGCUGGGUAGCUAUGUAUGGAGUGGAUAACCGCUGAAAGCAUCUAAGUGGGAAGCCCACCUCAAGAUAAGUAUUCUCAUC
rnacentral:rRNA from 1 species